GGUAAGGUGGCUCAGUGGUAGAGUGCUUGUCUUGCAUGCAUGAGGCCCUGGGUCCAAUUCCUCAGCACCA
rnacentral:tRNA from 1 species